GUUGACAGCCAGACAGGCGGACGCAGGCCAGACCAGUGUGCAUCACCCCGGCCGAACGAGAGAAAAAGAAGGACAGCGGAACCACUGAUGUUGCAGAAUUUGCAUCGCAUCGCAUUAAUCUACACAAAAUACAACGGAGCAAUCGAGGAAACUACGCAUAAAUCCAAUGAUAAGAGUCGAUCAUUUAAUUAUCGGCCACGAUCGAUGGACAAUCGCCGCGAUUUAAUGUGAUUUGAGACGGGAUCUGGAUGUCUUCGUGCCGGUGAUCUGUCGGCAGAAUGCGGAAUUUUGCAAUCAGCGGGAAGAAUUGUAAGGAGGGGGCAUGUGUGACGGGCAGGCGACGGCGUUGAACCGAUAAAGAUGAAGGAUGAAGCCCUUUCCGAGCGAUUUGAUCGGAUUCCGUGUUUGAUCGCCGAUAAUCCAAUUUGCCCUCGACGCCCGGCGAGCUUUCGUAUACGAUACGAGAGGGGGGGAGGGGGGCAUGUAUUUUUCAACGAGCGUGCACCGUCUGCUUCGUACAGUUGAAUAGAUGCCCCCUGUCAGACGUGGAGCCGUUCAAUUUUCUGGAAUCAUGCAUAUAUAUCCCGUCGCGUCGCGGAGACAGCCGCCUAGAUCGAGGGAGGAAAAAGGUAUUCUUGCAUCGUGAAACGGUUUUUUUCCCCCACCCCCCCCCCUCCUCCUCCUGGGUCAAAAGGGAAAUCGACGAGUCGCAGGAUGGUAUCGAACGUUUUCUGGAUCCGAUUGCAACCUUCUUCAUAGGAUGUCUCGAUUUCAUCUUGGGCCCCAUACUCGAUAAAGAAGAAACGUAGCAUAUAUAUGUAAGUAGGUUGUAAAAUCGUUUGAAUUAUUGGGAUUUAUAUUAGAGUUAUAUACGUUGAGAGAUUAAAAUUAGCCCAUCUUGGUUAAAGUUACUUCUAUCUAAAUCAAAAAGUAAUUUUCUAAAUGUUCUAAAAAGGUAUUUAAUUAAAUUCGUAUAGUAACUCUGUUAGUAUAAAAUUAACCAGAAAAUUGCAUUUCUAAUUAUAAUAAAUUCUAAUUAUGAAAUCGAUAAGGUGAAAGAAAAAUCGGUAACGAUUCCGAGACUGUAAUUCGUGUAGCCAACUCGUGAAGAGGAUCAUUCAACAGGUGUACCGGUGAUGCGCGAGAAAUUGCGGAAAGGAAAAAGCGCGAUGGGUACAAAGAGUGACGCGUUAUUUGUCCGCGCGAAGUCGCGACGCUUGGAAAGAGCUGGCUGCAAACAUUUCAGUUAUUAACAGAUAACAACGGUGCACGUAUACGAGAAAGGGAAGAAACGAACGAGAAAAAUCAAUUCGUGUCGAGAUACGUACAUUGGGUAAAAUUUUAGAAUCAAUUUUCUAAUUAUGUUAAAUUUUUAAUUUAUUUAUUAAUUUGAGAAUAAUGGUACGAAUAUUAAUUUUACUGAUUUUAGUUUACGAGUAAAUCGUGUAGAUAAUUAAUAAAUGUGUUAAUUUGCUUGAUAAAGCAAUAUAUUAAAUGAAAUAUUUGUUCCAAUGUUAAUAUUAUAAUAUUUUUAAUUUCGACGUACUAUAAUUCUCAAAUCCAUAGAUCUGUGGAUUCUAUUGCCUUGCAUCAUUUCUAAAACACAUUACCUCAUCCGUGCUGCAUCAAUGACACGUUCUCUUCUAAAAGAGAAAAUUGUGCAAUUUUGAAUAUUAUUAAAAGAUACGUAAGAAGAGAUGAAGCAUAGCUAAAACAAAUCAUCGUAUACGUGAUCCAUCUACGUGAUAUAUAUAUAUAUAUAUGUACAAUUAAUCGAAAAGAAGGAAAUUCAAAUUUUUUUCGACCAGAUAUGGAACACGUGGCACCCGAUUCCAAAGGCCGAUCGUUCGAUGCCGGUCGCGUAUAAAUUUCAUCCGGCCGUUUAAUUGAAUAUUUAAGCGAGAGGCCCCGGCUGAUUUCGCAUAAUCGACAAGUUCAUUGACUUCGAAAGAACAACUUCGAGAGGCAGUAUACGCGCGGCGUCUGGGUUCGUCGCCAACUGUAUAUUCCCUUUCGCGGUCUCGUCGUUAGACCGAUCGGCCGAUCGCUCUUUUCAGCUCCCCCUUUUUCCAGUUUCGGCCGCCCUCUCCUCCUCGUUUCUCUUUUUUCGGCCUGUGGUGUGGCGUGGCUUGGUAACUGGUGGCAGCAUCACCAGCCAUCACCCUGCGUAUUCGUAUACAAGGCCUGUUGUCCUCAUGUUCCACGCAUGAAGUAACGAAGCGAUACGACGUUGUGCGUGACGUUUGCGAUCAGUGGUUCGGGAACGGCAGGUGUAACUGUAAAAAACAGCCGCAAAAAUUCAGGCUGCUCGAAAAGAGAGAAGCCCUUGCCCGGAGCCUCCACUUUCUCAUCCAGUUUCACCGUCCGCUCUGCCUCUCUUUCCCACUCCCUUUUCCCCUUUGACCAUCCCUUCUACGCCCUUGGCUGCCUUCUGGUAUUUGAUGGAAUAAUAACAGGACGAGCGGGGAAGAUUCGUGAUGGGCCGGGGCCUCGUUUCCAAUGCGGUAUGACGCGGUCGAACGACUGGAGCUGCUGGAUAAACGACAGGUUGGACAGGAAAAAGAAACUUUGUGAAACGGCCCUCCCCGCUCUUCGGGCCCGUUUCUCGAAUUAUUCAAAGUUUUGAGAAUUAACUUUCCACUUUCGAAUGAUUUGUUGAAUCAGAUAGAUAGUUCGAGGAAUCGAAUCUCAGUAUUUAAUUUGCAAGGGAUAUUAUUCUUCUUAAACUUGCUGGAAAACGGUAUUUUAUAUUUUAUUCGCAAUAUAUAUUUCGCUUUGUAUAGCUUUUCCAAAAUCACGACACCGCGUAAUUGCAUUACGUUUGAUUCAGAAUCGUUCGAGCGCGUGAAUUCUUUUUCGAAUCGAGCCAACCACGAGGAAUGUUCUGCUCCAUCAAUCAGCCUCGUUCCUAGCCCGACUGUGUCUCGUACAUUGUCCAGAGAGACCCACCACUCCGUGGCUAUCCACGCUCUUGCGAUCGUGUUUCUACAAAACGCGCCGUCUUGUCUGAGAACGCAGGGCCGGUGCAGCCUUGAUCGUCGCGCGCGAGAGGAAUACGCUUAAAGAUCCUUCUCCACCUGGACGAGCGUCCGGGACAUUAAUUCUAUAAGAACGUUGGGAAACAUCGAAAGGAUAUUCAGGCUAGAACGUAUGUUGUAGACUCCUCGUAGAUAGAUAGAGAGUGGAAAUUGAAUUCAUUGUGAAUGGAGAAAUGUUUGAUGUCUGUGCGCGAUUGAUGAAUUAGUCGAUUAUUCAUUGCACGAUGGAGAUGAGUGGAUUCGUUGAUCCAUUUGAAAUCAUGGUCAAUGAGAUAUUCCUCAAGAAUUGAUACGUUUUAAUUGUCGUAUUAAAAUAAAAUUAGAUUAAUUUCACGUAAUUUUAAUUUUUGUUUACGUCGUAUUUCUGCAACUUUUUAUAUUUUUGAUAUCAAUUUUUUUUUUUGGAAUACAAAUUGGAUCUCAUCGUGAAAUUUUUAUUCAUUGCACGAUGGAGAUGAGUGGAUUCGUUGAUCCAUUUGAAAUCGUGGUCAAUGAGAUAUUCCUCAAGAAUUGAUACGUUUUAAUUGUCGUAUUAAAAUAAAAUUAGAUUAAUUUCACGUAAUUUUAAUUUUUGUUUACGUUGUAUUUCUGCAACUUUUUAUAUUUUUGAUAUCAAUUUUCUUUUUUUUUUUUGGAGUACGAAUUGGAUCUCGUCGUGAAAUUUUGAAGAGUUAUUUCCAAGAGGAUGAAAAAGCAGGAUUAUAUGUUUUAUAAUCUUUUAAAAUCUCUUUCCCUCAGAAAAACAUGCAGACAUUCCCAAGAUACAUACGGUCACGUCCGGAACGUUGGGUGGUCAUGCACACUUCUUGCACCCUAAUCUCAAACGACUCAUCCUUCCAUGCAUGUCUAACAUUCGAUACUCAUUGCCAGUCAUUUGCUAUAAACAUUCACACCAUGCGUUACUAUCCUCUACGGUUACUUUAAGACUUGGUAAUUCAAAUAGAGUACGGUAUUAUGGCGUAAAUUUUAUAGCCUUUUGAACAAUUGUUAAAAGGUUUUUUGAAUAGCGAUCGAAAGGAUAGA
rnacentral:lncRNA from 1 species